GAUGAAGAACGUAGCAAAAUGCGAUAAGUAAUGUGAAUUGCAGAAUUCAGUGAAUCAUCGAAUCUUUGAACGCACAUUGCGCCCGCCAGUAUUCUGGCGGGCAUGCCUGUUCGAGCGUCAUUUCAACCCUCAAGCACAGCUUGGUGUUGGGAUUCGCGUUAAUUCGCGUUCCCCAAAUUGAUUGGCGGUCACGUCGAGCUUCCAUAGCGUAGUAGUAAAACCCUCGUUACUGGUAAUCGUCGCGGCCACGCCGUUAAACCCCAACUUCUGAAUGUUGACCUCGGAUCAGGUAGGAAUACCCGCUGAACUUAAGCAUAUCAAUAAGCCGAGGA
rnacentral:misc_RNA from 1 species